UUGCUGAGGGAUAGGGGCGCUAUAUGUAGGAAUAGGUGGAGCCAAUGAUUGGUUUAUUUGUGAUGGACCUAUCCUGGGAAAAUUCUUCUGAAAACCUGGUAGACCACUUUGAUGCUGAAUAGGUUCAUUUUGCUUGUAUGAGAAAUUUGGAUGGAACCUAUUAUCAGGGUGGUAGACUGGACUGAAUGAAUUGGGAGUGGGCUUUUUGAAGGCACUAUAUGAAUUUAGAGCAUUUGCUUGCUC
rnacentral:lncRNA from 1 species